UGAAGAGUUUGAUCAUGGCUCAGAUUGAACGCUGGCGGCAGGCCUAACACAUGCAAGUCGAGCGAGAAAGGUCUUCGGACUGAGUAGAGCGGCGGACGGGUGAGUAACGCGUAGGAAUCUACCCAGUAGUGGGGGACAACUUGGGGAAACUCAAGCUAAUACCGCAUACGCCCUAAGGGGGAAAGCGGGGGAUCUUCGGACCUCGCGCUAUUGGAUGAGCCUGCGUUGGAUUAGCUAGUUGGUGAGGUAAAAGCUCACCAAGGCGACGAUCCAUAGCUGGUCUGAGAGGACGAUCAGCCACACUGGGACUGAGACACGGCCCAGACUCCUACGGGAGGCAGCAGUGGGGAAUAUUGGACAAUGGGCGAAAGCCUGAUCCAGCAAUGCCGCGUGAGUGAUGAAGGCCUUAGGGUUGUAAAGCUCUUUCAACGGUGAAGAUAAUGACGGUAGCCGUAGAAGAAGCCCCGGCUAACUUCGUGCCAGCAGCCGCGGUAAUACGAAGGGGGCAAGCGUUGUUCGGAAUUACUGGGCGUAAAGCGCACGUAGGCGGAUCAGAAAGUUGGGGGUGAAAUCCCGGGGCUCAACCCCGGAACUGCCUCCAAAACUAUUGGUCUAGAGUUCGAGAGAGGUGAGUGGAAUUCCGAGUGUAGAGGUGAAAUUCGUAGAUAUUCGGAGGAACACCAGUGGCGAAGGCGGCUCACUGGCUCGAUACUGACGCUGAGGUGCGAAAGUGUGGGGAGCAAACAGGAUUAGAUACCCUGGUAGUCCACGCCGUAAACGAUGUCUACUAGCCGUUGGAGAACUUGAUUCUUUAGUGGCGCAGCUAACGCACUAAGUAGACCGCCUGGGGAGUACGGCCGCAAGGUUAAAACUCAAAUGAAUUGACGGGGGCCCGCACAAGCGGUGGAGCAUGUGGUUUAAUUCGAUGCAACGCGAAGAACCUUACCAGGCCUUGACAUCCUGAGAACUUUCUAGAGAUAGAUUGGUGCCUUCGG
rnacentral:rRNA from 14 species